rnacentral:rRNA from 1 species
AGGUGAACCUGCGGAAGGAUCAUUAAUGAAACUUCAAAGUCGGCCAAAGGUUGUUGCUGGUGAUUAUUCACAUGUGCACGCCUUUGGUCGCAAAUCCACACACACCUGUGCAUCUAUGACUCRAGGUUGUAAUGACUGAGAGUAACUUUUAUACACUCUUGUAUGUAAUGGAAUGUCUUUUUGUGCUAUAAUGUACAAUAUAAACAACUUUCAACAACGGAUCUCUUGGCUCUCGCAUCGAUGAAGAACGCAGCGAAAUGCGAUAAGUAAUGUGAAUUGCAGAAUUCAGUGAAUCAUCGAAUCUUUGAACGCACCUUGCACCCUUUGGUAUUCCGAAGGGUACGCCCGUUUGAGUGUCAUUGUAAUCUCACUUCUACAACUUUAUUGUUGUUUGAAUGUGGACUUGGAUGUUGCCGUUUUAUCACGGCUCGUCUUAAAUGCCUGAGUGUACCCUGUUUUGCAGCGUAUCCAGUGUAAUAAACAUUUCACUAGAGUUGGUCGAAAGACYGCRUUGACUAUAUGGGCUCUAUGCUUCAAACCGUCUGCCAUGUGGACAAUUUCUUGACAAUUUGACCUCAAAUCGGGUGGGACUACCCGCUGAACUUAAGCAUAUCAAUAAGCGGAGGAAAAGAAACUAACAAGGAUUCCCCUAGUAACGGCGAGUGAAGAGGGAAAAGCUCAAAUUUUAAAUCUGGUGUCUUUGACUCCCGAGUUGUAAUCUAGAGAAGUGUUUUCCGUGUCGGACCGUGUACAAGUUCCCUGGAACGGGGCGUCAUAGAGGGUGAGAAUCCCGUAUAUGCCACGGACUACCGAUGCUCUGUGAUACACUCUCAACGAGUCGAGUUGUUUGGGAAUGCAGCUCAAAAUGGGUGGUAAAUUCCAUCUAAAGCUAAAUAUUGGCGAGAGACCGAUAGCGAACAAGUACCGUGAGGGAAAGAUGAAAAGCACUUUGGAAAGAGAGUGAAACAGUACGUGAAAUUGUUGAAAGGGAAGCGUUUGAAGUCAGUCGCAUCUGUUGGGGUUCAGCCUGGCUUUUGCCUGGUGUAUUUCCUUUCCGAUGGGUCAGCAUCAGUUUCGACCGAGGGAAAAAGACAUUUGGAAUGUGGCUGUCUUCGGGCAGUGUUAUAGCCUUGUG